GGAGCCGAAAAUGGUUAAGCUUAACUUCCCUUAACUUUUCCCAUUCAUUCUCUAUGGUAGUGCUUAACACUACGGAUGCAAUCUACUUUUGGCCACACGUAGACUUCCCGGCGCUGUUUCGCUUUUCCGUGGCGGGGAAUUUAAAAAGCGAAGCGUCAUCUGUCAACCCGUUUUAUUACCGGAGAGAUAUUUGUUUACCGACUUGUCAGCAAACUUGUUUCGUUUUGUCUAAACUACCUGCAGACAGACUUUAACUCAGUAAUGGAGGAGGAAGAAGAACUGGAAAGUUUUUCUCCAACAAAAUAUCUCACACAGCUGAGCUCAUCUGCAGCCACAGGAUCCACAGUCUUAUUUACAACAGGUUUGAAUAUACCAGUGGUGAAGCUCCUCCAACAACAUCGGCUUUGCACCAUCUCACGCAGCACAAUCAGCCUCUACACCUGCACCAAUGCUGUCUGCACUCACUGAAACCCCUGUUCCCAGCUACUUGAACACAAAAGUAAAGACGUGCAUUACACACGUGUAUUAAAUGUGUUAUUCACGCAUAUACAAUAUUAUACAUAUUAAUGCACUUUUAAUAUAUAUAUACAGUGGUGUG